rnacentral:rRNA from 1 species
ACGCACGCUGGCGGCGUGCUUAACACAUGCAAGUCGCACGGAAAGGCCCUGCUUUUGUGGGGUGCUCGAGUGGCGAACGGGUGAGUAACACGUGAGUAACCUGCCCUUGACUUUGGGAUAACUUCAGGAAACUGGGGCUAAUACCGGAUAGGAGCUCCUGCUGCAUGGUGGGGGUUGGAAAGUUUCGGCGGUUGGGGAUGGACUCGCGGCUUAUCAGCUUGUUGGUGGGGUAGUGGCUUACCAAGGCUUUGACGGGUAGCCGGCCUGAGAAGGUGACCGGCCACAUUGGGACUGAGAUACGGCCCAGACUCCUACGGGAGGCAGCAGUGGGGAAUAUUGCACAAUGGGCGGAAGCCUGAUGCAGCAACGCCGCGUGCGGGAUGACGGCCUUCGGGUUGUAAACCGCUUUCGCCUGUGACGAAGCGUGAGUGACGGUAAUGGGUAAAGAAGCACCGGCUAACUACGUG